rnacentral:rRNA from 1 species
AACGAACGCUGGCGGCAGGCUUAACACAUGCAAGUCGAGCGCCCCGCAAGGGGAGCGGCAGACGGGUGAGUAACGCGUGGGAAUCUACCCAUCUCUACGGAAUAACGCAUGGAAACGUGUGCUAAUACCGUAUACGUCCUUCGGGAGAAAGAUUUAUCGGAGAUGGAUGAGCCCGCGUUGGAUUAGCUAGUUGGUGGGGUAAAGGCCUACCAAGGCGACGAUGCAUAGCUGGUCUGAGAGGAUACUCAGCCACACUGGGACUGAGACACGGCCCAGACUCCUAGGGGAGGCAGCAGUGGGGAAUAUUGGACAAUGGGGGCAAGCCUGAUCCAGCCAUGCCGCGUGAGUGAUGAAGGCCGUAGGGUUGUAAAGCCCUAUCACCGGUGAAGAUAAUGACGGUAACCGGAGAAGAAGCCCCGGCUAACUUCGUGCCAGCCGCCGCGGUAAGAC